rnacentral:tRNA from 1 species
AGGCCCGUGGCGGAAUUGGCAGACGCAGCGGACUUAAAAUCCGCAGAGCUAAACCUCAUCCGGGUUCAAGUCCCGGCGGGCCUA